rnacentral:misc_RNA from 1 species
AAACGCCACAAACCCCACUUGCAGGCAAGGAAAAGCUGAAACCUGACAUUAACAUCUCUAUUUAUAAGUCACUUUUCUCACCCCGUUCCUUCGCCGCCUCCAGCACCUGCUCCACUUCACCCAACUCUCUCUAUCUUUCCUUCCUCAAACAAGGUAGAUUGUGUUGUUUAAGAAGAGCUCUAAUUCGAGUGGUUUUCUGAUUCUUGAUUAACCGUUAGCGAGUCUUUGUUAGGUGAUUACUACUGUAUUCUUCUGGGUUUAUCAUCUGAAAAGCAUACCUACAUUUAUUUGUCGACUUCUCUUAGCUGGUCAGGGAAAUGGCGGGUUGUCCAUCGAGUUUCGGAUUAUCAAACGCUCUGAAUGUUCAAGACGAGGUCUGUAUGAGGAGUUGGAAGCCGAUGCUCCACAAUUAUGUUGGGUUCAAAACAUUGGUGAGGGAGGUAACUUUCCAUGCUUGGGUUAGACAUGUCUCUGUUAAGAACCAGAGGUUUCUGGUCUGGAAUUCGCAGACAUUAUCUGAACAGCAAUCGGGUGUAGGCAAACCCAUGGUAGUUGAAAAUGAAGGCGUGGAGAGUGUAGUAGGGAAAGAUGUUAAGAUUUUGGAGAAGGGAAAUGAAUUAGAAACUGAUGUUGGUGGCAGUGGAGGGAAUAGAUUUGACGGGAGUGGAGGAAAUGGGAAAUAUCCAAGUGGUGGAGGUGGAGGUGGCGGCAGCGGUGGCAGUGGUAGCGGCGAGGAUGGUGAAAGAGAGGACAAAGGAGAAGAAGAAGAGUUUGGACCCAUUAUGAAGUUUGAUGAGGUUAUUAAAGAGACGGAGGCGCAAGGAGCAAGUCUCCCAUCUGAUAUGUUAGAGGCCGCCAAGAUUGUGGGGAUUCGUAGAUUGCUUCUGCUAAGAUAUUUGGAUUUGCAGGGGUCUGGGCUUUUGGGUUUUGCAAUGAAGUCUUGCUCUAUGCUUCGAAACAGAAUGUUGGCUGAUCCAUCUUUCCUCUUCAAAAUUGGAACAGAGAUAGUUAUUGAUUCUUGCUGUGCUACAUUUGCUGAAAUUCAAAAGAGGGGUAAAGACUUUUGGGCAGAGUUUGAACUGUAUGUUGCAGACCUUUUGGUUGGUGUGGUGGUAAACGUUGCUUUGGUUAGCAUGUUAGCACCUUAUGCACGUAUUGGACAACCAUCAGUAUCUAAAGGGUUCUUUGGACGGCUAUUACAUGCUUAUGGAUCUCUUCCUAGUAGUGUCUUUGAAGCUGAAAGGCCUGGAUGUAGAUACUCUGUACAACAGAGAAUUGCAACAUAUUUCUACAAGGGAGUCCUAUAUGGAUUUGUUGGCUUUGCUUGUGGUAUUAUUGGCCAAGGCAUUGCAAAUCUCAUAAUGAAUGCCAAGCGGAGCAUAAAGAAAUCAGAAGACGACAUACCUGUACCACCUCUUGUGAAAAGUGCAGCUCUUUGGGGUAUGCUUUACUUUAUUUGCUUAGAUUUGUCUUAGGUUGCCAAUUUCAUGGACAUUAAUGCCAAUGAACUGGUUCGAAUUAUUGCAAAUUUUUUGUUUCGAUGUUUAUCUGGUGUUUUACUCAGCUUUUUGAUGGCAUUUUUCAUCAUUGUAUUUGAUCUUGUGAUUUGUCCCAAUUCUAUGUGGCUGUCUUAAGUUACAGUGACUUGUCAAUUUCUAGGAUAAGAUAUUAUUGUAUGUAAUAUGCACAUGGAUUUAUGAAGUCGAUGUCUCUUAGAGCUCUCUAACUUUUGCCAGCUGAUUUCUAUCGUGUUUGUUUGUCUUGAUUGUGAGGUUGAAGGUUCAACAUUUACAUGCAAGACAAUUGUUUUGGAAAAUUCAGUUUGGAUCGGGUGAUUUUUUUUAUGCCAUAGUUUUAUCUUUGCCGUUCAACAUGACCUAGAAGCAUUAC